rnacentral:lncRNA from 1 species
GGCAAUCGAUGAUAUUCAUUUUAAGUAGUGCGGAUGUGAAAAGAGAAGAACCCAACCCAACACACCUCAGGUAAUGGUCCAUGCAACUCCAAGGCUGUGACAUGCGAAAGGCCGUCCAGAAUACCAUGAUUCUCUACUUUGUGUUGAAUGCUAUUGAGGACACGAGAUAUGAGACUUACUAAAGCUGUAACUAGACAAU